CUAAGAAUCUUCCGCAAUGGGGGAAACCCUGACGGAGCGACGCCGCGUGGACGAUGAAGGCCGUAAGGUUGUAAAGUCCUUUUGCAGGAGAAGAAUAAGGUGGGGAGUGGAAAGCCUCAUCGAUGACGUUAUCCUGCGAAUAAGCCCCGGCCAAUUACGUGCCAGCAGCCGCGGUAAUACGUAUGGGGCGAGCGUUGUUCGGAGUUAUUGGGCGUAAAGGGCGUGUAGGCGGCCCGACAAGUCUGGUGUGAAAUCGCAGGGCUCAACCCUGCGGGUGCGCUGGAAACGGUCGGGCUGGAGUCCCGGGGGGGAAGCUGGAAUUCCUGGUGUAGGAGUGAAAUCUGUAGAGAUCAGGAAGAACACCGGUGGCGAAGGCGAGCUUCUAUUCGAGGACUGACGCUGAGGCGCGAAAGCGUGGGGAGCAAACAGG
rnacentral:rRNA from 1 species